GGGAGGAUUGUCCAGUGGUUAAGACACUGGUCUAGGAUAUCAGAGGCCUGGUUUCAAUUCCCUGCUCUGCCA
rnacentral:tRNA from 1 species